UUUUUUUUUUUUUUUUUUUUUUUUUUAAGAGGCAAACGUUGUUCACAGAUAACGAAGUUUUAUUUUGGCCGCCUUUACACCGCGAGCACCGAUCCCCGUAGCCAAGCUGUGUGCGUUCCGUGUCGCGGCACGGCGCCGUGCAGCCCGCAGCUCACACACCCCUCUUCACGCCAGCAGCCCUACGCUGCUCCCUGAGAGAAGCGCAAACCCGAAGGCCAAAGCUGAAGUGCGGCUGUGUGCUGCGCGUUACCUCAGAGGCGUCGUUGUCCUGAGAGGAUAAUUCAGCAGUUGAAGAAAUGUGUCCAAAAGUCGACCAAAUUGUGCACUGAAGGCCUGUAGAAGUUACCUGCUUUCAAAACUUUGCACUGCUUUUCCUAACAAGCUUGCAAAACUCCACCAGUAAAAGGUAUACUGCACUGAGAGGAAAGUGAUACAUUUUGCAGAGAGGAAACUUUGGAGAAGUCACCACAUCCAUGACUCAGCAAAGGAUUAAGGCGUGCCUGUGACCUGAACACACAGCAGUGGGGUCCAUAGCACACUGCAGCAAUGUUGCUUUUGGCAUCUCUUUCUGAGCUCCCGAUUUGUUCUAUGUGCACCCAAACACCACAUCAUCAUUUAUUAAUGUUAACCAAAACCCACCUAACUGUGAGAACCAUAAGGCAGAUAGAGCAGUACAGAUGCUCUGUACCAAACACCCAGAUGCUUCUCUGAGUGCUGCAGGGAAGGAGAUACCACCAUGGCUGUGGGGCUGUCCAUUUCCACGUGUCCUCUUGUGAACAACGGUUCUGAAGCUGCACCCUCGUAAUGCACCGUGGGCUAAGAAGAACUGAAGCAUGAAGAAAUGAUGCACCUAGAUAUUCCUAAAAAUAUAUAUGUUACUACUUAACUUUUAAUGUGAUUUCUCUCUUUGAGGACAAGUUCAAAGUCGCACGCAGAUCCCGAGGAAGCUGAGUGUGCAGCCCAGGGCUGAGGCACACCAUCUUCUUUACGUUCCAUCUGAGUGCACAGCCCUCAAGGUGCUGCAGGCAGAUCUGGCUUUGCAGGAGGGAGCAUUCAUUGGUGAGCCCGACCUCAGUGCUGUGCUGAACUAACGGCUUUUUCCUGCACUGGACUGGGAUUGUGGAGCACAGUUCCUUCUUAACCUUCUCAGCCAAUCAAAAAGUGCUGUAAAGAAUGCAUGAGUUUGCCUUUUUCUCUUGUAUGUCAGAGCCCACCAGCACUCCGUGAGAAGUGGCUGCUGUUGGUCGUGCUGUGCCCUGCUCUAGCAAAUGCAGGACAGCACACUGCUGCAGGUCAUCAUGUGGGUGGAUCCCAGCAGUGCCAAGCAGCACACAGCCCCUGUUUGGGUUAAAAAAAUUAGUUAAACUUCAAAGUGAUGCGUAACCAUUAAAUUCCACGCAUCCCUGUGAAAUGCUAAGUGUUAUUCACUUUAUACAGUGGGGGAUCUAAAGCUGCGUGAGCUGCCUUGGGCAAUCCUGCUAACAUCAGGGAGAAAAAGCAGUACAGCCCUGGGACCCAUGCUCAGAACACUCGGCUUUGUUUUCUGUGUGCAUUCUGUACAGCAUUUCCUUGCCUAAAACCUGCAGUGUCAUGUAUCAAGGGGUAUUUUGUCUUUAAUUGUGUUAUUCUGUAAUAAUAUUUGCAAACAAAUGAUUUAACAAAUUACAUAAAACAUACAAAAUAUGCUUUUAAUUUAAAAAAAGAAAAUACCCAAAGGUUUUUCCUCAGGCUUUGCUCCAAAAUUCACCCUUCAGCCAGGACUGCAGAAAGGCACGCACACGUGUGCACGCAAACAAAUUCUGAAAGCAAAUUAGAAACACAUGAAAAUGGGGACUGUCUUCUUAACUGCACUCUGUUUUCAGUACAGCCAAACUGCCAGUGGUUUGCUGAUGGAGGAACACGCAGGCCUUAUCUGCACAGUGUUCCUCCCUCUCUCCAGCCUUGUUCUCCUGCAUAAGGCACAGCCCUGUCUCAGUCAGGAGGUGGCUGCCCAGCAGAAGAGCCUUUGUAGAAUAAUACUUUCCAUUAAGACAACUAUUACUUAGUAAAAGCCUGCUUUUGGAACUAUUUUAUUGUGAUUGCAAGACAAAUAAUUAGAAUCUGUGUCAUUUCUUUACUAAUACAUAGUAAUGAACAUACACAAGACAAAAUACCUGAAUUUCAGCAGCUGCUUUGAAAUGAUAGACUGUGCUGGAGGUUCCUGGUGUGACCGCAUUAGAGGCUCGAUGUCACUUUAUGUGACAUGAGGUUUGGUUUGGCUAUUUCGAGCAUCAGCUGCCACAGAGGUCAUUCUGAAUACAGAAUGAACACUUGAAAAUUUGUGACAUUUCGACGAGGAAGAAAAAAUAAAUCUGAUAAAAUAAAAAACUGCUAAAAACAACCGAUAAACUGAAACACUUUCAAUAAAGUUCUUUGAAAUUGACAUUAGCUGCUUGACUUUCAAGCCGUUGGUAAAGGUGUCCUCCAGAUAAGCUUUGGAAGAGCUACAAAGUUUUUGGAGUAAAAUUGAAAAUGUUCUACCACUAAGACAGAACAUUUCUGGCAAGAAGAACUAUUUACAAAUAUGAAAUUGUUGCAUUAUGGCUUUUGGGGGAGCUAUGCUACAUUCCAUUCAACAGAUGUUGUAUUUCAGUGGAGUAACUCCUAAUACAGAUCAAAUGAAUGAUGGCUCUUUUGCCUCAACUGUAUUCCCACCAUAUAACAGAACACUUUUAGAACUGAUUUUUGCUGCACCAUUAUUUCGAGAUGUUUUCUAAAAGCUAGAAACUGUGCUAGAAUAUGGAUUCAACUGGAGGAAUAACUCAUCUUUACUCCACCUUACAGUUCAGAGUAUGAUGCAAACAGUGGAAAUCAAAGUAUUAAUACCACUCACUGGAUAAAAG
rnacentral:lncRNA from 1 species